rnacentral:rRNA from 1 species
AGAGCCUGAAUCAGUGUGUGUGUUAGUGGAAGCGUCUGGAAAGGCGCGCGAUACAGGGUGACAGCCCCGUACACAAAAAUGCACAUGCUGUGAGCUCGAUGAGUAGGGCGGGACACGUGGUAUCCUGUCUGAAUAUGGGGGGACCAUCCUCCAAGGCUAAAUACUCCUGACUGACCGAUAGUGAACCAGUACCGUGAGGGAAAGGCGAAAAGAACCCCGGCGAGGGGAGUGAAAAAGAACCUGAAACCGUGUACGUACAAGCAGUGGGAGCACGCUUAGGCGUGUGACUGCGUACCUUUUGUAUAAUGGGUCAGCGACUUAUAUUCUGUAGCAAGGUUAACCGAAUAGGGGAGCCGAAGGGAAACCGAGUCUUAACUGGGCGUUAAGUUGCAGGGUAUAGACCCGAAACCCGGUGAUCUAGCCAUGGGCAGGUUGAAGGUUGGGUAACACUAACUGGAGGACCGAACCGACUAAUGUUGAAAAAUUAGCGGAUGACUUGUGGCUGGGGGUGAAAGGCCAAUCAAACCGGGAGAUAGCUGGUUCUCCCCGAAAGCUAUUUAGGUAGCGCCUCGUGAAUUCAUCUCCGGGGGUAGAGCACUGUUUCGGCAAGGGGGUCAUCCCGACUUACCAACCCGAUGCAAACUGCGAAUACCGGAGAAUGUUAUCACGGGAGACACACGGCGGGUGCUAACGUCCGUCGUGAAGAGGGAAACAACCCAGACCGCCAGCUAAGGUCCCAAAGUCAUGGUUAAGUGGGAAACGAUGUGGGAAGGCCCAGACAGCCAGGAUGUUGGCUUAGAAGCAGCCAUCAUUUAAAGAAAGCGUAAUAGCUCACUGGUCGAGUCGGCCUGCGCGGAAGAUGUAACGGGGCUAAACCAUGCACCGAAGCUGCGGCAGCGACGCUGAUGCGUUGUUGGGUAGGGGAGCGUUCUGUAAGCCUGCGAAGGUGUGCUGUGAGGCAUGCUGGAGGUAUCAGAAGUGCGAAUGCUGACAUAAGUAACGAUAAAGCGGGUGAAAAGCCCGCUCGCCGGAAGACCAAGGGUUCCUGUCCAACGUUAAUCGGGGCAGGGUGAGUCGACCCCUAAGGCGAGGCCGAAAGGCGUAGUCGAUGGGAAACAGGUUAAUAUUCCUGUACUUGGUGUUACUGCGAAGGGGGGACGGAGAAGGCUAUGUUGGCCGGGCGACGGUUGUCCCGGUUUAAGCGUGUAGGCUGGUUUUCCAGGCAAAUCCGGAAAAUCAAGGCUGAGGCGUGAUGACGAGGCACUACGGUGCUGAAGCAACAAAUGCCCUGCUUCCAGGAAAAGCCUCUAAGCAUCAGGUAACAUCAAAUCGUACCCCAAACCGACACAGGUGGUCAGGUAGAGAAUACCAAGGCGCUUGAGAGAACUCGGGUGAAGGAACUAGGCAAAAUGGUGCCGUAACUUCGGGAGAAGGCACGCUGAUAUGUAGGUGAGGUCCCUCGCGGAUGGAGCUGAAAUCAGUCGAAGAUACCAGCUGGCUGCAACUGUUUAUUAAAAACACAGCACUGUGCAAACACGAAAGUGGACGUAUACGGUGUGACGCCUGCCCGGUGCCGGAAGGUUAAUUGAUGGGGUCAGCGCAAGCGAAGCUCUUGAUCGAAGCCCCGGUAAACGGCGGCCGUAACUAUAACGGUCCUAAGGUAGCGAAAUUCCUUGUCGGGUAAGUUCCGACCUGCACGAAUGGCGUAAUGAUGGCCAGGCUGUCUCCACCCGAGACUCAGUGAAAUUGAACUCGCUGUGAAGAUGCAGUGUACCCGCGGCAAGACGGAAAGACCCCGUGAACCUUUACUAUAGCUUGACACUGAACAUUGAGCCUUGAUGUGUAGGAUAGGUGGGAGGCUUAGAAGUGUGGACGCCAGUCUGCAUGGAGCCGACCUUGAAAUACCACCCUUUAAUGUUUGAUGUUCUAACGUUGACCCGUAAUCCGGGUUGCGGACAGUGUCUGGUGGGUAGUUUGACUGGGGCGGUCUCCUCCUAAAGAGUAACGGAGGAGCACGAAGGUUGGCUAAUCCUGGUCGGACAUCAGGAGGUUAGUGCAAUGGCAUAAGCCAGCUUGACUGCGAGCGUGACGGCGCGAGCAGGUGCGAAAGCAGGUCAUAGUGAUCCGGUGGUUCUGAAUGGAAGGGCCAUCGCUCAACGGAUAAAAGGUACUCCGGGGAUAACAGGCUGAUACCGCCCAAGAGUUCAUAUCGACGGCGGUGUUUGGCACCUCGAUGUCGGCUCAUCACAUCCUGGGGCUGAAGUAGGUCCCAAGGGUAUGGCUGUUCGCCAUUUAAAGUGGUACGCGAGCUGGGUUUAGAACGUCGUGAGACAGUUCGGUCCCUAUCUGCCGUGGGCGCUGGAGAACUGAGGGGGGCUGCUCCUAGUACGAGAGGACCGGAGUGGACGCAUCACUGGUGUUCGGGUUGUCAUGCCAAUGGCACUGCCCGGUAGCUAAAUGCGGAAGAGAUAAGUGCUGAAAGCAUCUAAGCACGAAACUUGCCCCGAGAUGAGUUCUCCCUGACUCCUUGAGAGUCCUGAAGGAACGUUGAAGACGACGACGUUGAUAGGCCGGGUGUGUAAGCGCAGCGAUGCGUUGAGCU